rnacentral:rRNA from 1 species
UAGGGAAUCUUCCACAAUGGGCGAAAGCCUGAUGGAGCAACGCCGCGUGAGUGAAGAAGGGUUUCGGCUCGUAAAACUCUGUUGUUAAAGAAGAACGUAUCUGAUAGUAACUGAUCAGGUAGUGACGGUAUUUAACCAGAAAGCCACGGCUAACUACGUGCCAGCAGCCGCGGUAAUACGUAGGUGGCAAGCGUUAUCCGGAUUUAUUGGGCGUAAAGGGAGUGCAGGCGGUUAUUUAAGUCUGAUGUGAAAGCCUUCGGCUUAACCGGAGAAGGGCAUCGGAAACUGGAUAACUUGAGUACAGAAGAGGGUAGUGGAACUCCAUGUGUAGCGGUGGAAUGCGUAGAUAUAUGGAAGAACACCAGUGGCGAAGGCGGCUACCUAGUCUGUAACUGACGCUGAGGCUCGAAAGCAUGGGUAGCAAACAGG